GACGAACCACACGAACGUUAUUCGGAAUUACUGGGCUUAAAGGGUGCGUAGGCGGCCUGACAAGUUGGGUGUGAAAUACCUCGGCUCAACCGGGGAAUGGCGCUCAAAACUGUCAGGCUAGAGGAAGAUAGAGGUGAGCGGAACUUAAGGUGGAGCGGUGAAAUGCGUUGAUAUCUUAAGGAACACCCGUGGCGAAAGCGGCUCACUGGAUCUUUUCUGACGCUGAGGCACGAAAGCUAGGGGAGCGAACGGG
rnacentral:rRNA from 1 species